rnacentral:RNase_P_RNA from 1 species
GAUUCAAGUUGGGCAAUUGCUAUUUAAGUCUAAUAAACUUGAGUAGAGGAAAGUCCGAACACCAAGAACGGAGUGCCGGGUAACGCCCGGGGACUAAUUAUGCAAAUACUUAGUUACGGAAAGUGCAACAGAAAAAAUACCGUCUCAAUUAAUUGGGAUAAGGGUGAAAAGGCAGGGUAAGAGCCUACCGCUCCGGUAGUAAUAUCGGAGGUCUCAAAAGAGAAUCCCGAUAAUAUCGGGAUCAUUGAAAACCCCACUUGGUGCAAGGUUAAGUAGAAAGCUUUACAAAUUUAUUUUUGUAUAAGGGUUGUUCUUCCAUGGCUUUCGGGUAAACCGCUUGAGUUUUAGAGUAAUCUAAAAUCUAGAUAAAUAAUUGCCAUCUCAAUUUAUUGAGAUUACAAAAUUCGGCUUAUAGAUUUGGAUCAUCA